rnacentral:misc_RNA from 1 species
GAGUGGUGUUUGGUUUGUUACGGGUGGUUGGCUCUUUGCUUGCGCAACAACUUCCACCUGGCUUACCUCUUCAGUUUUGCGUCAAUGCUUGUACUGCAUUGAAUCUAAAUUGGGUUUCUUGUGUUGCAUACCAAAUUGAUGGUAUCGAUUGAUGAAUAGUCCAUUUUUCGUCUUGUGUCGCACAUGCGAUGUGAGAUGAACCUUGAAGCACUCUUUGUGAUCCACUCUUUUGAUGCACAUGCGUUGAUUGUGUGGCUCAUUAAGUGUUGCUUGGUCUCAUGGAUAUGGAAGUUGGUGUGGGCAUGGGAUCUUAGUGUUCUUACUAAGUUCCUUGUUUGCCCUGCUUUAGCUUCUCCAAUACGAUUUGAUUAUCACGUAUGGCAUGUCUCAGCGUGGUAGUCGACUUCGAAGAUGAAUG